UACUAGAGUAGCACUCGCAUAUCAAUAAGCGGAGGAAAAGAAACUAACAAGGAUUCCCCUAGUAACGGCGAGUGAAGCGGGAAGAGCUCAAAUUUGAAAUCUUAAAGGGUUUCCCUUUACGAAUUGUAGUUUAAAGAAGUGUUUUCUGUUGAGGUUUAGGUAGAAGUUCUUUGGAAUAGGACAUCAUAGAGGGUGAGAAUCCCGUAUUUGACCUUUACUUUCAACUUUGUGAUACACUUUCAAAGAGUCGGAUUGUUUGGGAAUGCAGUCCAAAAUGGGUGGUAAAUUUCAUCUAAAGCUAAAUAUUGGCGAGAGACCGAUAGCGAACAAGUACCGUGAGGGAAAGAUGAAAAGAACUUUGAAAAGAGAGUUAAACAGUACGUGAAAUUGUCAAAAGGGAAGCGUUUGACACCAGUGUUGUUUUUCUGAAAAUCAAUUAAAGAACUGUUUAUGCUAAGCUGUUUAGACUUUAUCAGCUAUCUGUUUAGUUUUGAGCUUUUCUUUAAUGCACUUUUCAGUUAACAAGUCAACAUCAAUUUCUUUUGCUGUAAAAAAGCUUGAGGAAGGUGGCUUGAGAUUCGUCUUAAGUGUUUAUAGCCUCUUGCCUAUGCAGUCGGAGAGAUUGAGGUCUGCAGCGUAGAUCCUUCGGGGCUAAAUGCAUUUGUGCUAAGUUAUAGCAUUUUAUAGACAACUUGUUGACUAUGAUUUGUCUUGUAGCUUACUCGCUUAUGUUAUUUUACCUACGCUUAGGAUGUUGAGCGCAUGUCUCUCUCU
rnacentral:rRNA from 1 species